UUACGGUCAAAUCACGAGGAACACACCGGUUCUCGUUCGAUUACCGAAGUAAAGCAUCGUAGAUCCAGGUCAGUACUUAAAUCGGGGAUACUUGGGAAUACCUGGUAUUGUAAG